rnacentral:rRNA from 1 species
AUUGAACGCUGGCGGCAGGCCUAACACAUGCAAGUCGAACGAGUGGCGGACGGGUGAGUAAUGUCUGGGAAACUGCCUGAUGGAGGGGGAUAACUACUGGAAACGGUAGCUAAUACCGCAUACCAUCAGAUUUGCCCAGAGGGGAUUGGUUUGUUGGUGGGGUAACGGCUAACCAAGGCGACGAUCCCUAGCUGGUUUGAGAGGAUGACCAGCCACACGGGAACGGAGAGAGGGUCCAGACUCCUAGGGGGGGCAGCAGUGGGGAAUAUUGCACGAGGGGCGCAAGCCUGAUGCAGCCAUGCCGCGUGUAUGAAGAAGGCCUUCGGGUUGUAAAGUACUUUCAGCGGGGAGGCGUUACCCGCAGAAGAAGCACCGGCUAACUCCGUGCCAGCAGCCGCGGUAAUC